rnacentral:rRNA from 1 species
AGUGAACGCUGGCGGUAGGCCUAACACAUGCAAGUCGAACGGCAACACAGAAAGAGUUUGCUCUUUCGUGUGGCGUGUGGCGGACGGGUGAGGAGUACAGCGGAAUCUACUUUUUCGUGGGGGAAAACGUAGGGAAACUUACGCUAAUACCGCAAACGACCUACGGGUGAAAGCAGGGGCUCUUCGGACCUUGCGCGAGUGAAUGAGCCGAUGUCGGAUUAGCUAGUUGGCGGGGUAACGGCCCACCAAGGCGACGAUCCGUAGCUGGUCUGAGAGGAUGAUCAGCCACACUGGAACUGAGACACGGUCCAGACUCCUACGGGAGGCAGCAGUGGGGAAUAUUGGACAAUGGGCGCAAGCCUGAUCCAGCCAUGCCGCGUGGAUGAAGAAGGCCUUCGGGUUGUAAAGCCCUUUUGUUGGGAAAGAAAAGAAGCAGGUUAAUACCCCGCUGCACUGACGGUACCCAAAGAAUAAGCACCGGCUAACUUCGUG